GGGGGUAUCUCAGUGGUAGAGUGCAUGCCUAGCAUGCACAAGGUCCUGGGUUCAAUCCCCAGUACCACCA
rnacentral:tRNA from 1 species